CGGCUCACCAAGGCCACGAUGCAUAGCCGACCUGAGAGGGUGAUCGGCCACAUUGGGACUGAGACACGGCCCAAACUCCUACGGGAGGCAGCAGUAGGGAAUCUUCGGCAAUGGACGAAAGUCUGACCGAGCAACGCCGCGUGAGUGAAGAAGGUUUUCGGAUCGUAAAACUCUGUUGUUAGAGAAGAACAAGGAUGAGAGUAACUGUUCAUCCCUUGACGGUAUCUAACCAGAAAGCCACGGCUAACUACGUGCCAGCAGCCGCGGUAAUACGUAGGUGGCAAGCGUUGUCCGGAUUUAUUGGGCGUAAAGCGAGCGCAGGCGGUUUCUUAAGUCUGAUGUGAAAGCCCCCGGCUCAACCGGGGAGGGUCAUUGGAAACUGGGAGACUUGAGUGCAGAAGAGGAGAGUGGAAUUCCAUGUGUAGCGGUGAAAUGCGUAGAUAUAUGGAGGAACACCAGUGGCGAAGGCGGCUCUCUGGUCUGUAACUGACGCUGAGGCUCGAAAGCGUGGGGAGCAAACAGGAUUAGAUACCCUGGUAGUCCACGCCGUAAACGAUGAGUGCUAAGUGUUGGAGGGUUUCCGCCCUUCAGUGCUGCAGCUAACGCAUUAAGCACUCCGCCUGGGGAGUACGACCGCAAGGUUGAAACUCAAAGGAAUUGACGGGGGCCCGCACAAGCGGUGGAGCAUGUGGUUUAAUUCGAAGCAACGCGAAGAACCUUACCAGGUCUUGACAUCCUUUGACCACUCUAGAGAUAGAGCUUCCCCUUCGGGGGCAAAGUGACAGGUGGUGCAUGGUUGUCGUCAGCUCGUGUCGUGAGAUGUUGGGUUAAGUCCCGCAACGAGCGCAACCCUUAUUGUUAGUUGCCAUCAUUCAGUUGGGCACUCUAGCAAGACUGCCGGUGACAAACCGGAGGAAGGUGGGGAUGACGUCAAAUCAUCAUGCCCCUUAUGACCUGGGCUACACACGUGCUACAAUGGGAAGUACAACGAGUUGCGAAGUCGCGAGGCUAAGCUAAUCUCUUAAAGCUUCUCUCAGUUCGGAUUGCAGGCUGCAACUCGCCUGCAUGAAGCCGGAAUCGCUAGUAAUCGCGGAUCAGCACGCCGCGGUGAAUACGUUCCCGGGCCUUGUACACACCGCCCGUCACACCACGAGAGUUUGUAACACCCGAAGUCGGUGAGGUAACCUUUUGGAGCCAGCCGCCUAAGGUGGGAUAGAUGAUUGGGGUGAAGUCGUAACAAGGUAGCCGUAUCGGAAGGUGCGGCUGGAUCACCU
rnacentral:rRNA from 1 species